rnacentral:pre_miRNA from 1 species
UCAGAAGAACUAGGUAGAUUUGCCAAAGGAGAUUUGCCGAACUAUAGGUACUGUAGGUAGGUUUUGCCAAAAGGAGAUUUGCCCCGAACUAUCGGUAGGUUUGCCAAAGGAGAUUUGCCCCGAAGAACUUA